AUUUUUUUUUUUUUCUCUUAAAUCCCACAGAAUUUUCUCUCUGUCAGUUCUCCCGGUUUUUUUAUUUAUUUUUUUUUUGGAAUUUUUUUGUUGUUUUUUGGGUGUUUUUAAUAACGUUUUUUUUUUAAAAAAAGUAAAAAAAAAUUUUUUUUGGGAGUAAGAAAAUUUGGUGUUUUUUGGGUGUUUUUUUGCUUUUUUUUUUAUAUGAAAAUUUAGGGCUCUUUUACUUGAAAUGAGGGUAAUUUUUUGGGGGUCAAAUUUUUUUUUUUUGGAGGGGGGCGCUGGAGUCGUUCAAGUACUAUACUACUCCCCUUAGGGGAAAAAAUGAGUUUUAUAAAAAACCCCAGGAUUAAGGUUUUGGUGUGCUCUUUACAAAAAAAAUUUUUUAUUUUUUUAUGGGGGGUAUAAAUACAAAGUGUGUUUUUUUUCUUCUUAAUUUUGAAGUUAAAAAUCACACAAAAAUGUUGGUAAAAUUUUUAUUUUGGAUGUAAAAAGGGGUUUUUUUCUUUAAAAUGGGGGGUCAAAAAUUGAAGAUAAUUUUUUUUUUUUUGUGGGGGGCUAAAGGAGUGGUAUAUUGUGUGAC
rnacentral:lncRNA from 1 species